GAUGAAGCCAUGCAUACCUAAGUACAUAGCUUAAAACGGUGAAACCACGAAUGGCUCAUUAAAUCAGCUAUGGUUCCUUAGAUCAUAUAUACUACAUGGAUAACUGUAAUAAUUCUAGAGCUAAUACAUGCAAUUACGCCCUGACCCCCAAGGGAACGGGUGCAUUUAUUAGAACAGAACCAACCGGGGGCAGUUUCUUCUGUCUCUGUUGAGUUCUGUGAUUUCUCUGGAUAACUUUAAUGAUCGCAGUCGGCCUUGUGUCGGCGAUGGACCUUUCAAAUGUUUGCCCUAUCAAUUUGUUGGUAGGUGAUCUGCCUACCAUGAUAAUGACGGGUAACUGGGAAUCAGGGUUCGAUUCCGGAGAGGGAGCCUAAGAAAUGGCUAUCACAUCCAAGGAUGACAGCAGGCGC
rnacentral:ncRNA from 1 species